CAGAAAUUAAGAUUGGACGUUCACAAUGCAACAUCGUAAUGAGCAGAAUAAAGCCUUGGUUGCUCCUAAAGCCACCUAGUAAGCAGAAAAAACUGGUCAUCCGAGAAGAACCUUCUGUUGCAAAGCCAAAAUCUACUGAUGACAGUAAGACCAUCGUAUGGACAUGUAAUUUGUCAACUUCGGAGUUUACAAUAAUGCUUUUCAAUAUGGCUGCUUCUCCACUAUAUAAUGUUUGCUUAAAAUCAACACAUGUAACUGCAAACAACACUUCGAAGAUGGGAACUGCAGUG
rnacentral:sRNA from 1 species